rnacentral:lncRNA from 1 species
GGACCUGUUCUGCAACUACUUCAAAAUACACCAUUGGAGAGAUCGAUUGUUGCUCGAUCCUUCUUCUCGCCGGUUUUGGGUGCUGACGACGGCGAGCCUGUUUGGUUGCGAGGACGGCACAUACGGAGAAGAGCACGACGGAGAUGGUCCUGUGACCUGAGACAGACGCGACGACCACCAGACGUCGAGCUUUCACUCCGAUUCGAUCCCGACGGCGAGCUACUGUCGCAGCCUAACGAAGCUUGAAGCGAAGACCUCCGCGAGUUGCAGACCAUGGCCGACGGGAGACGGCGGCACGAGCAGUCACGGUUCGUCAGAGCUUUAUACAAAUGGCCGGAAACGGUGGCGUGAAGAAGACGAGCAGAGUCAAUUACGGUGAAGAUGAGCACGGCCACGGGAGAUAGAGAGGCCGUGAGCCAGUGACGACGAAGGAGACGACGGCUGAAGCUUGAGACGAGGAAGGCAAGAAUCGAGCAUGAACCACAACGGCUUGACAGUACGGGACGAUGAAAUCACUGUAUCUCGGACGCACCUUGGAGCGGACCUGCAACGCGGGAAGAAGAAGCCGCGCGCACUUGGACAAACUCGAUGUCAGUAUCAGAGCGGCUUAGUGAAACGGGUUGCGUUACCCGCUCGGAGAAGACAAAGAAGCGAUUUCAAGAUGUGUUGACCGGUUUAAUCCGGUUUGACCCGGUUUAAUUCAACUGAACCAGGACGAGUUUAGACUUCUUAUAAAUAGUUUUAGCCUCCAAAAAUCCUAAUUUAUC